UUAAGUGAGAGGACUCUACCGAGUGACAAUGCCACUUGUUGAAUGUUACUUCCUACUUUCCUAGAUAUGUAUCCAAACACUUUUUUUUUUUCCUUUUUUAUCCUAAGAGGAGAUAUUCAAUAUAUCUGAAGUUCUGAACCUUUUGUUUUACUUUUGAGUUUUUCUGCUGAAUGGAACCUUGAUAUACUUCAGGGCUUCAGGCCAUCUGGGCUGAAAAACGGUGAAUAAAGAGAUUCAUCUGGUUCCUCUAGAUUGCUAGAGUUUGUGCUAUGGUUACAUUGAGAAAAUCUUUUUGUUAGGCUUCGGCGCACAUUAAGGAAUUUAGUAGGGUGAAAGUAAGAGAAAGAGAGUUUGUAGAGGGAUCUACUUUACAUGAUUUGAGUGAGAAAAUUUUCUUUUUCAAGUAAUAGGAAUUUUUUUUGCAAACAUCCUGAAAAGGUAUACGGGAAAGAUUAUUUGUGGACAUAAUGAGUAUAAUAUAUGUUGGGCUAUCUACAUUACAAUUGCCUAUUUGGACUUAUUGCUUGUUUUUAUAUGAAAAUCAGGAGUGAGCAGAAUGUGUUGUUUAUCAUCUGAGUAAGCAGUCUCUCAAUAACACAAAUUACAACAUGCAUUAUAAUUUUGGAAGUAGAAUUGGUCAGGGGUUGCGCGAACGCAGACCCCCACUAUCACAAAUUAUGACGUACACUCUUCCUCUUGGGAAGAUGUUAGGCUAGCACCCCUCCUAAUGUGCAAUGGAGGCCACCAACCUAGGCCAUGAGCCUUCUUGAUCGCCCAUUGACCCCGUCCAGGUUGAAGAACUAUCAUAAUCUUUGGGCUCUCCUUAAUUUUCUUAAGGCACCUGAGCUGACUGAAGAUUUCCAAUUAAAGGUGGAAUAAGAAGUAAAAUUUGAAGAAAUGGAUCGAGAUCUGGCACCAUAAGUUCCCGGUAUUUGCUCUUUUUAUACAUUAUUCAGUUAUUGGAGAGGGUUUGUGGUUGCAGCUUGUUUGGGCUCUCCUUAAUUUUCAUAAGGCACCUGAGCUGACUGAAGAUUUCAAAUAAAAGGUGGAAUAAGAAGUAAAAUUUGAAGAAAUGGAUCGAGAUCUGGCACCAUUAGUUCCCGGUCCAGUUUGUUUGCUGGCAAAUCAUUCAAUACUUAAAAGUGCCAGAAUCUGAAGAUGUUAAGGCAGGUAGGAGAAAAAUUAAAUCUUUUAGCUCAACUUCCCUUGUUGUUGUCUAUUGGUUUAGAGACUUGGUGAAGUAUUAAGUGAGGUUUGUUUAGAAAAAGGAACACCUUUUGGAAGCCACUCUCGGCUGAUAGAUGACCUAGAAGAUUGGAUAGAAAUGAUUUGUGGUUGGCUUUGGCACUAUGAGAUGUUUUGGCUGUAACAAAUUUAAUAGGUUUCUGGAGAUUAAGCUUUAUGGGCUGCAAAAUGCAGCAAUGUUUAUAGUCCCACAUUGAAAAAUAAUGAUAUAAAGGCUUUAUUUAUAAUGCUCUUGUGUCUUUAAACCAUUGUCUCUUAGGAGACAUCUGAUAAAAUUGGAACGAUACAGAGAAGAUUAGCAUGGCCCCUGCGCAAGGAUGACACGCACAAAUCGAGAAAUGGUCCAAAUUUUUU